rnacentral:snoRNA from 1 species
AGCAACGCUCCAAAAUGAUGAGAAUUAUUCCAAGAACCGGUAUUUUAGGAAGAGCCGGAAGAGGUAUGGCAGGAAUUGUGAUUGAUUCGUCAAAAUUGAUCCGUCCUGUCGUCGAUGCUUAUAAAGGUUCUGCUGAGUGGAGUUUUACA